UGCCCCAUGGCUGAGUUGGUUACAGCGUCCGACUGUUAUCUUUCUUGUAUACAUCGGAAGGUCGUGAGUUCGAGCCUCACUGGGGCAG
rnacentral:tRNA from 1 species